rnacentral:tRNA from 1 species
GCCCUCGUAGCUCAGCGGAUAGAGCAGCUGCCUUCUAAGCAGUUGGUCGGGGGUUCAAUUCCCUCCGGGGGCGCCA